rnacentral:misc_RNA from 1 species
UUAAGUUCAGCGGGUAGCCCUACCUGAUUUGAGGUCAAUGUCAAAAGUGCGCGAUGGCAGGUUCUGAGCAGUCAUCACCACAAGGAGAGACGAAACUUAUUACGUCUAACACUGAUGUGGGAUGUUCCACUAAGUCAUUUGAGGCGAGCCAUUGCUGGCAAAUCACCCAAGUCCAAUCCAACCAGUCCAGAAGAACCAGA